AUUUUUAUUGUUGUUUAUGUAGAAGGGUUUAUGUUGUAGAAAUGGUCAUCUUUUAUUUUGGUCUAGAAACUGAGUGAAUAUAUAACAAUGACACAUUUUUAGUACAAAAUAAUUGGUCUUAUUUGUAACUUCAGUAAUUUUUUAGAUUUCAUAUGUAAAGUAUCAUUUGGAAGCUCAAGGAAGUACAGCAAUUAAUAUAAUAGUGACCUGCCAAAUUUUAUUUCUUAAUAAUUAAGUUAAAAGUUAAGUGUAAUUAAGACACCAAUGUAAAUGAAACUUCAUGUUUACCGCUAUGUUGCAGGAAUAUAGAUUUAAAAAUUCCAGCUGAAAUUAGACUAACCAGUAAUCUGUCUAAUAUACUUUGUUCUCUGUAUUUCCCAAUUACACAUUAUCCUUGUUUAUAUUAUUUACAUUAUAACUGUCUACAUUUUUGGCUAAUUAAAUUCUGGAACCUCAGAUGUGUCAUUGUAAUAUAUAGAUGAAAGCCAGCCUUACAGGUGCUUAUAUUUUGGAUGGUUAUUUCUCCCCUUGUUGAAGGGAGUUUUUAGGCAUGAUUUGUGCUGAGGUGCGCUAGUAGAAACUAUUAGCAUAUUUUAAUAUUUUUGUUAGAAUCAAGUGGAUAUUUAAAGAUUAUUGGUGUUUUUGAUUGCUUAAUUUUUUAGAUAUCACAAUAAAUUUUAUUUGUGCUUUUAUGUUUAGGACUGAAUUCAAUUUGUAAUUUACAAUAUUCAUAAGGAUAACACUAAAUUUCCCCCAAUAGGAUUCUUCAUAUCUCUUGGUCUUUAAUUUGGAUGUGGGCCAAAAAAUAAGUGAAAUGAUUUCUUAUUCAUUGCAUAAAUGUUUGCUAGCUAUUCUCCUAAAUUUUUGCUUGUAAACUUUAUUUUCCUUGCUUUAAUCCCUUACAACGAAUAAAUGGUAAAGAAAAACUUGAAAAAUUUAGCUUUUUUAUAUUUUGGUCCUAACAACAGUUCUGAUGAAUUAAAAAAAAAAUGCAUACAAAUUAAACAAAAAAUAUAACCAGAAAUACUUAGUAACUAAUCUUUGGUUGUGGGAAAUUUUCUUCAACUGUGCUGGUAAUUUGCGACUUAAAAAUCUCAGAUAAGCUUGCCACUAACAGAAAUGUCUUUCCUUGCAAAUUUCUUAUUUCUUCCUGUUCAGAAUAAGGUAUUUCUUCCUGUACAGAAUAAGGUAUAUUUCUUUCUGUACAGAAUAAGGUAUUUCUUCCUGUACGGAAUAAGGUAUAUUUCUUUCUGUACAGAAUAAGGUAGUAUUUCUUCCUGUACAGAAUAAGGUAUUUCUUCCUGUACAGAAUAAGGUAACAACAUUUAGUAAAGACACAGGGUUGUUUUCAAAUAAAGUAUGAAGUUCAAGAUUGGCAGCAUGACACAGAUUGCAUGAACCAGUUUUCUGGCAUGACCAUCACUGUAUUCACUUAUUUAUUGUAACACAUUUUAUUCAUAUU